rnacentral:lncRNA from 10 species
CCCUGCACCAACUUAGCUUACAUCUGAGAAAGGGAAACCAGAAAAUAGAUGACAAAUAUGGUAUAUGAAAUAGUGAUAUGUGCUAAGGAAAAAAAAAUUAAGGAGCUAGGAAGACUAGAGACUCUGUGUGUGUGUGUGUGUGUGUGUGUGUGUGUGUGUGUAGGUUGGGGGUACUGCAGUUUAGGAAAGGAAGUCCUCACUGAGAGGGAGACAUUUCAGUGAAGGCCUGGAGGAGGGAGUGGGAGUGGGGAGAGAGUGUCCAGUACAGAGGCCCUGAGGCAGAUUUGAGAAAGGGCAAAGAAGUCACUGUAGCUGUGGUUGAGGUGGAAAGAAGGAGAGUGGUAGAAAAUGGAGUUAGAGAGGUAAUGGGGGUGGGAAGAAUGUGAGGGGCCUCACAGGCCUUAUGGACUUUGGAUAUUUCUCUGAGAGAAAUGGGGAACCUCUGAAGUGUUUUGAUCACAGGAGAUGUAUUAGUCAUCUGUUACAGGGUAAUAAAUACAGCCAACCAAAAUGUAGUGGGUUAAAAGAACACUAAGUACGUAUUAUCUCUCAUAGUGUCUGUGGAUCAAUAAUUUGGGAGCAGCUCAAGCAGGUCUUCCUACUCAGGGUUUCUCAUCAGGUUGCAGUCAGACCUGGGCUAGGGCUCUGGCCACCUGAAGAGGUGGUUAAGUCGAGAGGAUUCACGUCCCAGGUGGUUUACUCACGUGACUGACAAAUUGGCUGUAGCUGAUGGUGGGAGAUCUCAGGCCUUCUUGACAUGGGCCUCACCACAGGACUGCUUGUCUCAUGGAAUGUCACUGCCCUUCCACAGAGUGAGAAAUCCAAGAAGGUGGCUGUGUCCUUGUCCUCUAUGACUUCACAUCUGAAGUCACACAUCAUGCCUUCUGCAGUGUUCUAUGAGUCAUAUGGUUCAUCCUGAUUUAGGCUGUAAGCAGAUUGCAUCAUGGCGCGGAUACCAGGAGAGGAACAUCUGAGGCUGCGCAAUCUCUAAGGAAAAGAGGUUUAUUUGGCUCACUGCUCUGUGGGCUGUACAAGAAGCAUGGCACCAGCAUCUGCUCCUGGUGAGAGGCUCAGGCUGCUUCCACUCAUGGCAGAAGCUUGCUCUGGCUAACAACCACUAUCAUCAAAGUUGUCUGAGGAAGACCUCCUGUUGCUGUGACUGACGGGACUCUUGGUGGAAGCCCUAUUCCCAUGUGCCCAUGGCUGCAGCUCCCCAAGGAAGCAGGACAUUGUUGGAUUCUCUAAGAAGCUCAGAGGAAGUUACUUCUCACUGUGGUGCCAUAUGGGAUUUGAAGUCGUUCUACUCAUGCUCUGUUUUUCAAUAAAGCUGCUUCUGCCUCUGUCUUCUGUGC